rnacentral:rRNA from 1 species
UACAGAGGUCCCAAGCGUUGUUCGGAUUCACUGGCGUAAAGGGUGCGUAGGUGGUGAGGUAAGUUUGAUGUGAAAUCUCCGGGCUCAACCCGGAAAUGGCAUUGAAUACUAUCUUGCUAGAGGAGUGGAGGGGGACUGGAAGUACUUGGUGUAGCAGUGAAAUGCGUAGAUAUCAAGUGGAACACCAGUGGCGAAGGCGAGUCCCUGGACACUCCUGACACUGAGGCACGAAAGCUAGGGGAGCAAACAGG